rnacentral:rRNA from 1 species
CUACGGGGCGCAGCAGUGGGGAAUAUUGCACAAUGGAGGAAACUCUGAUGCAGCAACGCCGCGUGGAGGAUGACACUUUUCGGAGCGUAAACUCCUUUUAUAUAGGAAGAAGAUGACGGUACUAUAUGAAUAAGCGCCGGCUAACUCCGUGCCAGCAGCCGCGGUAAUACGGAGGGCGCAAGCGUUACUCGGAAUCACUGGGCGUAAAGAGCGUGUAGGCGGAUUAAAAAGUCAGAAGUGAAAUCCUAUAGCUUAACUAUAGAACUGCUUCUGAAACUCUUAAUCUAGAAUAUGGGAGAGGUAGAUGGAAUUUCUGGUGUAGGGGUAAAAUCCGUAGAGAUCAGAAGGAAUACCGAUUGCGAAGGCGAUCUACUAGAACAUUAUUGACGCUGAGACGCGAAAGCGUGGGGAGCAAACAGGAUUAGAUACCCUUGUAGUC